rnacentral:rRNA from 1 species
GACGUAGGGCGCAAGCGUUGUCCGGAUUUAUUGGGCGUAAAGAGCGUGUAGGCGGCCAGGUAGGUCCGUUGUGAAAACUAGAGGCUUAACCUCUAGACGUCGAUGGAAACCAUCUGGCUAGAGUCCGGAAGAGGAGAGUGGAAUUCCUGGUGUAGCGGUGAAAUGCGCAGAUAUCAGGAAGAACACCCGUGGCGAAGGCGGCUCUCUGGGACGGUACUGACGCUGAGACGCGAAAGCGUGGGGAGCGAACAGG